rnacentral:lncRNA from 1 species
UGGAAAAAUAGGUGUGGGAAAAUGUGCUGUGGAGUGAAUUCAGGAGAGAGCAUCAGCAAGACUAUGGAUUGUCUGGAGGGACAAGGAUAUCAAUUUCACAGAAGCUGAGGGGUCUUUGGUCAUGCCAUGAAACACAUGGUAGAGCUGAACUCAACUGCAGGACGUUUGUUGAAGAGAUUGUAGACAGGUGAGUAUAAUAGGGUGUUGAACAGGGAACACAGCACACAACAGCAGAUCACAGCAGUACAGUGAAUAGCAGAGAGCAAAGAUGACGACAGUAGGUCUACAGAGGAUAGAGGAAAACAUCCACAGAGGAUGAAAACACUGCGUGACAGAAGCAGGGUCACAUAAACUUGUGAACGCAAGACUCAAGAAUGACAGAGUUUGUGUGGUAAGUAUCGCCUAGCAUCCCUCAAUGAGUGUGCUGUUCUUGUCCAGGUGUGAUUAAUUUACAGUCCAGCAAGAGUGAAUGAUGUGUGGAGCCUGGGGUCCAGAUCAUUUAACCAAGAUUAACAAAUGGACAGAAUAAAUAAGAAUUAUUUUUCAUAACAUUCUAAAACAUACUUAGGUUAUUCUGUAAUAUUAUUUGUUUGUUCUUUUGUUAUAAUUCCCAUUAUAAUUACUUUAAUGUCAGCAGUGCGCUUUUAGGUCAGUGCUGAACAUUAGCGAUUUAAACGCGAUAGUAGGCCUAGUUGACAUCAUCGCGGGCUUUGCAUUGACUAGAGAUCCCAAGAUACUGCAGAGCGCAGCGCCUCCCGGCCGGAGCCGCGUCACGUGACCCGGUGUGUCUCAGCGCUACAGCCCUGCUGCACAUUCACUCGCAUCACAGCUUUACCUCAAUAACUCAAACUACCUUUUUCAUCAGUGGACGAGAGCCUCGGCGUGCUGGUGUCAAUGGCCUUAUGUUGAGGGAUCAGAGAUGACGUCUGCUGCCUGCUUCUGCUGAAAGAGGAUUUAACCCUUUAAAGCACUUAUGGUCAAAACCACAGUUUCAGACAGAAAGUAACAUGAUGGAUGACACUGAACAGUGUGGAUAUGGCAAAGCAUGGAUGAUAACUAGGAAAAAAUAAAUUCAGAACAAAAAUAAGGUUGAUGACAUGAGGAGAAAAGUUGUGAAAUGGUCUCUAUAGAUGUUGAAAUCCUGAGAGAGACUGUCAGGUGGUUAUGUGAUUUGGAAGUUGUGGUCACUUAUUAUUUUUGUCCUAUUCAAAAUUCUUAACUAAGACUAUUAUUUUUGUCCAUUCAAAAUCUUACUAAGAUUAUUAU